rnacentral:misc_RNA from 1 species
UCGUGUAUGAAGCAAUGAUCGACCGUGACAAUACCACAAUAGUAUUUGUGAAGGGGCUCAAUCUACGGCCAGAUAGGCUGUACAACACAGCAAGAUUCGAGUGCGUGUACGGCUGGGAUCUCAGGAGGCCAAAGUUCUUAUUGAGAUCUAACGUCAUAUCGAUAGCCCAAGAGAUCGUACGGUGCCGAACGCCUUUUAGCAUAUUGAACAACCCACAGAAAGUAAACAAUUCCAUCAAGGUCUCAGUCAGAUUGAAAGGCAGAGGAACAUUACACUCUAUAGCCCGACCGGCGCUCCAAUUAAAUCGAGACUCAGACCCGACCGCCCGAAAGCCAUAUGAAAUGUGCAUAUGCACAAUGUUGCGCAACCAAGCGAGGUUCCUUGGGGAAUGGGUUAUGUACCAUGCUCAAAUUGGAGUCCAACGUUGGUUCAUUUACGAUAAUAAUAGCGAGGAUAAUAUUGAUAGUGUCAUAGCAUCGUUAGUGGAUAACAAUUUCAACAUUUCAAAACAUGUGUGGCCUUGGAUCAAGACCCAGGAGGCAGGACUCGCGCAUUGUGCAUUACGGGCACGCAGCUCUUGUAAAUGGGUUGGGUUCAUAGACGUAGACGAAUUUUUUCACUUGCCAACUGGACUGAAUUUGCUUGAUGUGCUUAGAAAUCAAUCCGAGUCUAGCAGUAGUGAUGUCGCAGAACUACGUGUAUCGUGCCAUAGUUUUGGACCAUCUGGGCUGGAACACAUGCCGGAGCAAGGCGUCACCGUAGGAUACACGUGCCGGAUGAUGGUGCCGGAAAGACACAAGAGUAUAGUGAAUCCCGAGGCAUUGAAUUCCACAUUGAUCAAUGUAGUGCACCAUUUUCAUUUGAGGGAUGGGUUCAGAUAUGUAAAUGCUGAUAGGGGAGUUUUGGUGAUUAAUCACUAUAAGUAUCAAGUAUGGGAGGUGUUCAAGGAGAAAUUUUACCGGAGGGUGGCUACUUAUGUGGCUGAUUGGCAGGAUGAACAGAAUGUUGGGUCCAAGGAUCGUGUCCCCGGGUUGGGGACUAGGGCCGUUGAGCCACCGNNNNNNNNNNNNGUGAGGUGACUGACACUGGACUUAGGGAUCGAGUGUUGGGAAAUUUCAGAAACCCAAUAACUAAACUUUUGCCAUGGCAGGAAGAUGGGGGAAUUUUGGAUGUGCAAAAUAUGGG